ACUCCUACGGGAGGCAGCAGUGGGAAUAUUGGACAAUGGGCGAAAGCCUGAUCCAGCCAUGCCGCGUGUGUGAAGAAGGCCUUUUGGUUGUAAAGCACUUUAAGCGAGGAGGAGGCUACCGAGAUUAAUACCCUGAUAGUGGACGUUACUCGCAGAAUAAGCACCGGCUAACUCUGUGCCAGCAGCCGCGGUAAUACAGAGGGUGCGAGCGUUAAUCGGAUUUACUGGGCGUAAAGCGUGCGUAGGCGGCUUUUUAAGUCGGAUGUG
rnacentral:rRNA from 1 species